CUGAGGUUUUGUAGGCCUUGUUUCCACUUAGUGCUUGAAUAGUGGGUAAUCUCACUGGCUGGUAACAUCCUGAAGAAGGUUAUUGUCAGUGGAGGAGGACGACGAUAAAUUCGAUGAAGAGGAUUGGAUUUCUCAGACUGCGCUAGCUGGAUUUCUCAGAACCUUCCUUGUG
rnacentral:lncRNA from 13 species